UCAGGACGUGGGCCAUUGGCUGGCCGCGAGUCUUGGGAACUCGUUCAAGUCGGUUCGAUUCCGGCCGUCCUGAUC
rnacentral:tRNA from 1 species